rnacentral:rRNA from 1 species
UCUCAGUGCAAGCCGUCCUGUACGGUGAAACCGCGAAAGGCUCAGUAAAUCAGUUAUGGUUCCUUAGAUUGUACCCACAUUUGUGUUACUUGGAUAACUGUGGUAAUUCUAGAGCUAAUACAUGCCGACAGAGUUCCGACCAGCGCCGGGUGUAUUAGGCUUCGCGCCGACGCCUGGUGUUCGGAAGGAACGCUCUUAUUAGAUCAAAACCGGCCAAACAGUGUUUUCGAACGCGUUUUCGAACGCGUUCGCGCUGUAAGCGGCCCGCGCAAAGACUUGACGACUCUGAAUAAUUUCGAGCUGAUCGCACGGUCUUGGUACCGGCGACGUAUCUUUCAAAUGUCUGCCUUAUCAACUGUCGACGGUAGGUUCGAUGCCUACCGUGGUGGUAACGG